GCCCAGUGAUGACACCAAGGCAAAUAUGAGUUGACUGAGUGGAGGUUGGGGGUCAUCUUGCCUAUUCCUGGCAGGUAAUCUUGGCAGUGUAGAGGAACAUUAUUGCUCUGCUGUAAGGGCCUGCCGACAGUCAGUCGGCUUGAGCUAAAUUAGUCACUCUAAGAAAUGAACAAGUGAUUAAUGGACUGGAGCCUACAGCGUGAAUGUGUGUGAUGAUUGUGUGUGCGCGUGAGGGGCAAGGAGAUCACCCAAUUUCCUGUACAACUCAGUCAGCAGUGAGCUCCAUCUUUGGUAAUCUGAGGGCA